UCCCUGGUGGCUCAGAGGUUAAAGCGUCUGCCUGAAAUGCAGGAGACCUUGGUUCAAUCCCCAGGUCAGGAAG